AACGAACGUUAGCGGCGCGCCUAACACAUGCAAGUCGAACGCGACAGGGGCAACCCUGUUGAGUGGCGCACGGGUGAGUAACACGUAGGUAAUCUCCCCUCGAGUGGUGGAUAACCUUCCGAAAGGAGGGCUAAUACAGCAUAAGACCACGGCCUCGAAAGAGGCUGAGGUCAAAGCGGAGGAUCGCAAGACUUCGCGCUUGAGGAUGAGCCUGCGGCCCAUCAGGUAGUUGGCGGAGUAACAGCCCACCAAGCCUAAGACGGGUAGCUGGUCUGAGAAGAUGAUCAGCCACACUGGAACUGAGACACGGUCCAGACUCCUACGGGAGGCAGCAGUGGGGAAUCUUGCGCAAUGGACGAAAGUCUGACGCAGCGACGCCGCGUGGGUGAUGAAGGCCUUCGGGUUGUAAAGCCCUGUGGGGAGGGACGAAUAAGUGUUGGUUAAUACCCAACGCGAUGACGGUACCUCCUUAGCAAGCACCGGCUAACUACGUGCCAGCCGCCGCGGUAACAC
rnacentral:rRNA from 1 species